rnacentral:lncRNA from 1 species
GUUAUGAAAUGAGAUUGAAAUAUAAAUAAUGACAAAAUAUGAUUUUCUUGUUCUCUGGUGGCCAAUACAUCAAUGUACAUGUAUAGGACAAUUUGUUACCUGAUGGAGAGUUGUUUCAUUGGCAAUCAUAUGUCAUAUUCUUACUUUUAUUAUUACAUGUACAUGCAACUCCAUUAGUGGUGCAUCAGUGAAUUGCAUGCAUACAUGUACAUAUCUCAUGAAAAUGUACAUAUCUGUAGGUUUACUGGUAUGAUUAAUAUUU